rnacentral:rRNA from 1 species
CAGUAGCCGCGGGAAUACGAGGGGGGCAAGCGUUGUUCGGAAUUAUUGGGCGUAAAGGGCGCGUAGGCGGUUUGACAAGUUUUAUGUGAAAUCUUCGGGCUCAACUCGAAGUCUGCAUGGGAAACUGUCGGGCUUGAGUAUGGGAGAGGUGAGUGGAAUUUCCGGUGUAGCGGUGAAAUGCGUAGAUAUCGGAAGGAACACCUGUGGCGAAAGCGGCUCACUGGACCAUAACUGACGCUGAGGCGCGAAAGCUAGGGGAGCAAACAGGAUUAGAUACCCGUGUAGUCCCUGUCUCUUAUAU